rnacentral:rRNA from 1 species
AUUGAACGCCGGCGGCAGGCCUAACACAUGCAAGUCGAGCGGAUGAAGAGAGCUUGCUCUCUGAUUUAGCGGCGGACGGGUGAGUAAUGCCUAGGAAUCUGCCUGGUAGUGGGGGAUAACGUUCCGAAAGGAACGCUAAUACCGCAUACGUCCUACGGGAGAAAGCAGGGGACCUUCGGGCCUUGCGCUAUCAGAUGAGCCUAGGUCGGAUUAGCUAGUUGGUGAGGUAAUGGCUCACCAAGGCUACGAUCCGUAACUGGUCUGAGAGGAUGAUCAGUCACACUGGAACUGAGACACGGUCCAGACUCCUACGGGAGGCAGCAGUGGGGAAUAUUGGACAAUGGGCGAAAGCCUGAUCCAGCCAUGCCGCGUGUGUGAAGAAGGUCUUCGGAUUGUAAAGCACUUUAAGUUGGGAGGAAGGGCAGUAAGCUAAUAUCUUGCUGUUUUGACGUUACCGACAGAAUAAGCACCGGCUAACUUCGUGCCAGCCGCCGCCGUAACAC